UGGAGGACUGAGAAGGUUGAGCAGCUUGUUCUGUGCUGUUGUAACUGGUAUAGCCUCCAAGAUUAGCAAACAAACCACAUAAU